CAAGUCGAGCGAAGCGAUUCAAAUGAAGUUUCGGAUGGAUUUGAAUUGACUUAGCGGCGGACGGGUGAGUAACGCGUGGGUAACCUGCCUCAGUACAGGGGGAUAACAGUUGGAAACGGCUGCUAAUACCGCAUAAGCACACAGUGCCGCAUGGUACGGUGUGAAAAACUCCGGUGGUAUGAGAUGGGACCCGCGUCUGAUUAGGUAGUUGGUGAGGUAACGGCCCACCCAAGCCGACGAUCAGUAGCCGACCUGAGAGGGUGACCGGCCACAUUGGGACUGAGACACGGCCCAAACUCCUACGGGAGGCAGCAGUGGGGAAUAUUGGACAAUGGGGGAAACCCUGAUCCCAGCGACGCCGCGUGAGUGAAGAAGUAUUUCGGUAUGUAAAGCUCUAUCAGCAGGGAAGAAAAUGACGGUACCUGACUAAGAAGCCCCGGCUAACUACGUGCCAGCCGCGGC
rnacentral:rRNA from 1 species